UGGGGAAAUUUUGUUGAUAAGGUGAAAUUUUUAAUGUAAGGGAAAUUCUUAAGAAAUCUGUUGAGACUAAAAAAUUUAGGUAAAAAACCAGGAUUAGAUACCCUGUUAUUCUAAAUAAUAAUGUAAAUAGGGUAGUAAAAGUUGCUCUUCAAACCCAAAGAUUUUGGCGGCAUCUUAUCCUAAUAGAGGAGCUUGUCCUAUAAUUGAUAGUCCCCAUUUUAUCUUACCCUUUUUUGUUAAGCUUGUAUACCGCCGUUGUCAGAUUACUUUAAAAGAACGUUUUCAGGAAAAAUAUUUUUCUUACUUCAGGUCAAGGUGCAGUUUAUAAAAGGGCAGUGAUGAGCUACAAUUUUUAAUAGAAAUACGGAUUUUAGGCUUGAAACUCAGGUGAAGGUGGAUUUAUUAGUAAAUUUACUUAAGUACAGUAAGUUGAAUAGGGCAAUAGGAUGUGCACAUAUCGCCC
rnacentral:rRNA from 1 species